rnacentral:rRNA from 1 species
GAUGAACGCUGGCGGCGUGCCUAAUACAUGCAAGUCGAGCGGUAACACUUCGGGUGACGAGCGGCGGACGGCUGAGUAACGCGUAGGAAUGUACCCCAGAGUGAGGGAUAAGCACCAGAAAUGGUGUCUAAUACCGCAUAACCUCUUCGGAGAAAAGCUUCGGCGCUUUGGGAACAGCCUGCGUAUGAUUAGCUUGUUGGUGAGGUAAAAGCUCACCAAGGCGACGAUCAUUAGCUGGUCUGAGAGGAUGAUCAGCCAGACUGGGACUGAGACACGGCCCAGACUCCUACGGGAGGCAGCAGUAGGGAAUUUUCCACAAUGGGCGAAAGCCUGAUGGAGCAACGCCGCGUGCAGGAUGAAGGCCUUCGGGUUGUAAACUGCUUUUAUUUGUGACG